CCCCUUGCCGACCAUUGGCUUACAAAAGAGCCCGGUAACAAUUACAGCCAAUGAGAUAUGAAGGAAAGGUUUUUGAGAAGUGUGGAGAGGCUUGGGAAAGCGUUCUUGUUUUACAAAGAAAUGUCACUCUCACUACGAUCUUCACAUUUUGUUGUGUGAAGAUGUUAUGCUUACAGCUGUUGCCGCCGUCUUUUAUCCACAAGGUGACGAACUAGAGGACCGGCUGACACCCUGAGGAUGGCAGAAGAGAAUUUUGUAGAGAGUCUGGUCCUUGGUGAUAUUGUUGAGCUACUAAAUUAACCAACCCUGAACCUGCCAUCCCUCAGACUGUUCCUCCUUUGAGAAAAUAAUACUCUUUAUUGUUUAAGCCAAUUUGGGUGAAGUCCUUUGCUACUUACGGCCAAAAAAACUAAACGUGAGAAUCCAGCUCUGGUCAGAAGAUUGCCCAGUGUGCAAGGACUCCAAGUGAGGUGAGUUGAUCGAGUUCUUCAAAUGGUGAAUAGUCCCGUGUCUCAUCAUCCACUUUCCCAUAAGGACCGGACAAUCGAAUCCUCCAGUGAGCCUUUCCCCAGACUCUGUGAGGUGAACAUUGCCACAUUUAACCUCCAUUUUGGGGAACUUUGGAAUGUUUUAGGUGGAUUUAAGCCCUGAGAACUGAAGAAUUUCUCCCAGUCUUCUAAAGUCACAGUCUGUUGGGGACUACUUGUGCGGUGGUUGCCAGGGUCUGGGCUCCGACCUACCGGUCCUCUCAGCUCUCCACACUGUGGCCUCAGGAGAGAGGGGAAGGACAGCGAGGUGGGGAGACACGCACAGGGCUGAGGGAGAAGCCCCACUCCCGCCCUGAGUCCACCGUGGUGCUGUCUGUCCUGUACUGUCAGCCAGUGACUGCUGGCAUGAGGAAGCUUCUUUGGGGAGAAAUAUUUUUUCUCUCUUGCUCUCUGACAAAUUUCCUUUAAAUUGAUCUCACUGUGUUUAAAAUUUUUAUCGCUACCAUAAUGCAAUCUGGUGGUUUCAGAUUCUAUUUGCAGCUCUAACUAACUUUAUGAGCCUUCCUCCAUAUAAACUCUUUUCAGGGUCAUUCGUUGGUUGAAAAUGGGAUAAGAGUAAACUGUCGUUCCCAGGCAAACUUUUGUUGAUGAAUAUCACCUAAGAUAAGACCUGGUAGGAGACGGGCUUUAGAUAGCAGGAUCUGAACACAAGGCAGCAGUUCCCGUGAUGGGGGACGUUGAUGAGUCUCCGGUUAGACAGGGCCCUUCUAGACCUGGAGGAUGAAAUCAGCAUGUUGUCCAUCAAGCAAAGACAUUUAAAAGCAUCUAAAGAGGCAAAAAGCAUCCCCAGAUCAGUAUUCACAUGUAGGCGUUACAAGGCAAAAUACAGAAGCAUCACUCAGAAGGCCUGCUGGUCGUUUACGGAAAUGAACACAGCAGGGAGCUGUGCCGAGACACUGAGAAGUCACUGUUUCCUGGGCAGGGUUGAGCAUUUGCCACGUGCCGGGCUUUACGUACAGUGUCUCAUCAACUUCUCCCAACAGUACUCUGAGUUGGGUAAUGUUAUUCUACUUCAGAACAGGAAAGCAGACAGAACAGUCAGAUUAAGUAGGCUGU
rnacentral:lncRNA from 1 species